rnacentral:rRNA from 1 species
GACGAACGCUGGCGGCGUGCUUAACACAUGCAAGUCGAACGGAAAGGCCCUGCUUUUGUGGGGUGCUCGAGUGGCGAACGGGUGAGUAACACGUGAGUAACCUGCCCUUGACUUUGGGAUAACUUCAGGAAACUGGGGCUAAUACCGGAUAGGAGCUCCUGCUGCAUGGUGGGGGUUGGAAAGUUUCGGCGGUUGGGGAUGGACUCGCGGCUUAUCAGCUUGUUGGUGGGGUAGUGGCUUACCAAGGCUUUGACGGGUAGCCGGCCUGAGAGGGUGACCGGCCACAUUGGGACUGAGAUACGGCCCAGACUCCUACGGGAGGCAGCAGUGGGGAAAAAUGCACAAUGGGCGGAAGCCUGAUGCAACAACGCCGCGGGCGGGAUGACGGCCUUCGGGGUGUAAACCGGUUUCGGCUGUGACGAAGCGGGGGUGACGGUAAUGGGUAAAGAAGCACCGGCUAACUACGGG